UACAGAGGUGGCAAGCGUUGUUCGGAUUAAUUGGGCGUAAAGGGUUCGUAGGCGGUUUGGAAAGUCAGAUGUGAAAUCCCACAGCUCAACUGUGGAACUGCAUUUGAAACUUCCAGACUAGAGUAUGAGAGGGGUAAAGGGAAUUCCCGGUGUAAGGGUGAAAUCUGCAGAGAUCGGGAGGAACACCAGUCGCGAAGGCGCUUUACUGGCUCAUUACUGACGCUCAGGAACGAAAGCUAGGGGAGCAAACGGG
rnacentral:rRNA from 1 species